AGAGCGAACGCUGGCGGCAGGCCUAACACAUGCAAGUCGAGCGCCCGUAGCAAUACGGGAGCGGCAGACGGGAUAGUAACACGUGGGAACGCGCCCUUCGGUUCGGAAUAACUCAGGGAAACUUGAGCUAAUACCGGAUACGCCCUUACGGGGAAAGAUUUAUUGCCGAAGGAACGGCCCGCGUCCGAUUAGCUAGUUGGUGAGGUAAUGGCUCACCAAGGCGACGAUCGGUAGCUGGUCUGAGAGGAUGACCAGCAUCACUGGGACUGAGACACGGCCCAGACUCCUACGGGAGGCAGCAGUGGGGAAUAUUGGACAAUGGGCGCAAGCCUGAUCCAGCCAUGCCGCGUGGAUGAUGAAGGCCUUAGGGUUGUAAAGUCCUUUUAACGGGGAAGAUAAUGACGGUACCCGUAGAAUAAGCCCCGGCUAACGUUCGCGCCAGCAGCCGC
rnacentral:rRNA from 1 species